rnacentral:rRNA from 1 species
GACGAACGCUGGCGGCGUGCCUAAUACAUGCAAGUUGAGCGAUGAAGAUUGGUGCUUGCACCAAUUUGAAGAGCAGCGAACGGGUGAGUAACGCGUGGGGAAUCUGCCUUUGAGCGGGGGACAACAUUUGGAAACGAAUGCUAAUACCGCAUAACAACUUUAAACAUAAGUUUUAAGUUUGAAAGAUGCAAUUGCAUCACUCAAAGAUGAUCCCGCGUUGUAUUAGCUAGUUGGUGAGGUAAAGACUCACCAAGGCGAUGAUACAUAGCCGACCUGAGAGGGUGAUCGGCCACAUUGGGACUGAGACACGGCCCAAACUCCUACGGGAGGCAGCAGUAGGGAAUCUUCGGCAAUGGACGAAAGUCUGACCGAGCAACGCCGCGUGAGUGAAGAAGGUUUUCGGAUCGUAAAACUCUGUUGGUAGAGAAGAACGUUGGUGAGAGUGGAAAGCUCAUCAAGUGACGGUAACUACCCAGAAAGGGACGGCUAGCUACGUG